rnacentral:rRNA from 1 species
GACGAACGCUGGCGGCGUGCUUAACACAUGCAAGUCGAACGAAGUGGCGAACGGGUGAGUAAUACGUGAGUAACCUGCCCUCCUUUUUGGGAUAAGCCUUGGAAACGGGGUCUAAUACCGAAUAAAGGGGGAUGGGCGCGCGGCCUAUCAGCUUGUUGGUGGGGUGAUGGCCUACCAGGGCGGUGACGGGUAGCCGGCCUGGGAGGGUGACCGGCCACAUUGGGACUGAGCUACGGCCCAGACGCCGACGUGAGGCAGCCGUGGGGGCUAUUGCACAAUGGGCGAAAGCCUGAUGCAGCGACGCCGCGUGGGGUAUGACGGCCUUCGGGUUGUAAACUCCUUUCACCAUCGACGCGGUAGAUGGAGAAGAAGCACCGGCUAACUACGUGCCAGCAGCCGCGGUAAUUC